AUACGUGUAUGAGAGAGGAACAGCUCCUCUUCUCUCUCCCAUUGGCCGCCGACGACUCAGCUCCGGUCAGCGCCAUUCACCGCGGCCACUGCCUCAGGCGGUGUUCUCCUCCUCCUCUUCUCCACCUCUCCCUUUUUCCCCCUCUCGAUCUGCUUGCACAGGCGGCGGUUCUCCGGCCUCCCCACGCCUCGCACUGCUGGAGCAGUUUCCCGAUGCCUCCUCACCGACUCCCGACAGAUUUGUGAAGGUGGUGAAAUCAGUGACAAAUCGGGGUGUGGGACUGCCACCGACAGCGUGCCGAAACUCAGUCGCCGGAAAUCCGGCAGAUUCGUAUUUUAGGAGAUGAGUCCCUAAUUUGGUUUGUUUAUUCUAUGAAUUUGGUAACUUUGAACAAUUGUCUUGGACUAAAAUCACUUGAUGGUGAAAACAUGUUUGCUAAACUUGUUGUGUAUUGUUAUUUUCAGCUGGGUUAAUUCUAUUUUCUAUUUAUAUA